GAACAAACUAUUUCAUCUACUUAUUCGAAUCAGCUAUUUUAUUUAUUUAUUCGAACAAACUGUUUCGUUUAUUUAUUCGGAAUAUUAAAAACAAAACAAAUUCAAAAAGCAUUUACGCAAAUAAAGUAUUUUAAGCCUUUAUGUUUUCUUAUCCAACUGUAAAGAAUUAUCAUUUAUUUUACACAAGUAAGUCCUGAAUCUCCUUUUUUGAGGGUUACCGGUCGAACGGUGAGAAAAUAACACAACGUCGUGAACGGCAUCGACAGCCAAAAUGUCAGCAAUUUCUCAAAACUAAGCGUAUCCUCUGUCAACAUUUGUGAAUCUCCAUCAAAGUCAACAUCGAAUCAGCCAAUAAUUGAAUAAUUUACAAUGUAUAAUCGAUAUUGGAUCCACUUAAUGCAGUGCUAAAUCGAAAUCUUCGGACAUUUUCUCGGUUCUCCCUCGACACACUGCACGAACCUUAAAUAAUAUUCUCCCAACUUAUUUAUUAGGGGAAAGCAGUGACACUACCGAAUGGCAAUCAGACUGGAGCAGUUCCUUCUAUCAAGCGUAAAGUUCUUGGAAAACCAAGAUCUAAAAAACCUCUAAAAAUUCUGUCAGAUGUAGAUACUGAUACUAGCGAAGAAAGAAAAAUGUUCUAUAUAUUUACUUCCCUUUAGAAGGCAUCAGUUAGGCACACCUUCUUCCUGUGAACAUUAUUUCUAUUUAGAACGUCUAAUCGAGCAAAAAUGUAAACACUUGACCAGUAGAUCGUCAAACGUUUACAACAAUCACUGUUAGAAAUGAGCUUGCAGGACAGGUUAUUAGACAAGUUCCGGAAGAAGUUGCCCCUCGUGUUGAAGAUGAACUUUUAGAAGAUCCUACAUUUUGCAACCAAAAUACAAUAGGGAAGAUCGUAUGCUUCUUUGCGAUGGUUGUGACUGUAAUAAUCAUCUAAUAAACCUUAAUAUUAACUUACUA